rnacentral:tRNA from 1 species
GGCCGGGUAGCUCAGUCGGUAGAGCAGCGGCCUUUUAAGCCGUUGGUCCUGGGUUCGAGUCCCAGCCCGGCCA